CGAAGCCGGUGGAGUAACCUUUUAGGAGCUAGCCGUCGAAGGUGGGACAAAUGAUUGGGGUGAAGUCGUAACAAGGUAGCCGUAUCGGAAGGUGCGGCUGGAUCACCUCCUUU
rnacentral:rRNA from 1 species